rnacentral:lncRNA from 1 species
GACGUCAUCGGCGACGGCGAAUCGGGUUCUGAGGCCGCGGCGGCUUUGCGAUCGACGACAGUGACUGCAACUCGAGACUCGGCCUGUAUUGAUCUUAUCUCUUGAUCGAGUUGAGUUUCCGGUAUGGCGACUGGUUCACUUCCGGCGUCGCUCCGCUCAUGGCGUCGCUACUCGUGGAGUUGUGGCUCCGCAUUUCGAGCGUGACGAUUCCGACGGACAUGGCUGGCUCCGAUCAC